GCUGAUAUAGCUCAGUCGGCAGAGCACAUCCUUGGUAAGGAUGAGGUCAUCGGUUCGAAUCCGAUUAUCAGCUCCA
rnacentral:tRNA from 1 species